UUAAAAGCCGUGACGGGAACAAGUAACAGAAAGGAAAUCCUACAGAGAGCUGCCGGAAGCUGAGAGGCGCAGGAAGAACUUUAUGUGAAUACCUCCCUGAGCUUCACACCGAAUACGGACAUUGACCGGCGCUGAUAUAUGUGACGGUACAUACCGUCAGUAGGCUGUGACGGAGCUGCAGCCGUUAUCCUGCAAAGGUGCUGACAGGCACCUGAUAAGGCAGACUGUGUGAACAGUCUGUAAAUUAAGGUGGUAACACGAGUAAUGACCUCGUCCUUUUU
rnacentral:ncRNA from 1 species